CGCUAGCGUGCGCGGUUAGGUUGCCCUUGGAGCAGUCUGAGCACAACCCCUGAGCUGCGUUGGUUACUACAAGCUCGUAGCAUUGCGCACUAUUGCUUUGCCUCCCCAGGUUACAGAAAGAGGUGAUAAAUCAAUUGAAAGUUAUUAACAGUUAUGGUGCGUUUUUGUGAUGAUAAAAGUUAAUUCUUCGGAAGUGUUCAAAUGAAAGAAAAUAUGAUAGGCUGUAGCCGCAACAAGGAACAGAUAACAGGUGUAGUGAUGGCAGUGGCAACGGUUGCAGUUCGUAACGGAUUACUAAACACCAGCAAUCAAAAGGAAAGUUGGGGGCAGUGCAUUUGCUGGAGGGACUGAGGACCUCCACAUGAACCUCUGCAUCCAGGAUAACAAGGACCGGAGGACAUUCGGAUCAAACUCCUCCUGAAGACAGCCCAUGUCUUGGAUACUUCUAAAGAUCAGCCCAGAGAAUUGAGGGGAAACUUCUUCAAAUAUCUGCAUGGUUGAAGAAUUCUAUCUUCUGUGAUAAAAAGCCAUGUAGUCCGGUGAAAGAAUAAACCAAGAAAGAGAUCAGCGUGAGGAAAGUACAGCUGCUUAACACUGAUUGCCUCUUACACUCAUUCUUCGA